rnacentral:rRNA from 1 species
GUGAGCGGCGGACGGGUUAGUAACGCGUGGGAACAUACCCUUUUCUACGGAAUAGCCUCGGGAAACUGAGAGUAAUACCGUAUAAGCCCUUCGGGGGAAAGAUUUAUCGGGAAAGGAUUGGCCCGCGUUAGAUUAGAUAGUUGGUGGGGUAAUGGCCUACCAAGUCUACGAUCUAUAGCUGGUUUUAGAGGAUGAUCAGCAACACUGGGACUGAGACACGGCCCAGACUCCUACGGGAGGCAGCAGUGGGGAAUCUUAGACAAUGGGCGCAAGCCUGAUCUAGCCAUGCCGCGUGUGUGAUGAAGGUCUUAGGAUCGUAAAGCACUUUCGCCAGGGAUGAUAAUGACAGUACCUGGUAAAGAAACCCCGGCUAACUCCGUGCCAGCAGCCGCGGUAAUACGGAGGGGGUUAGCGUUGUUCGGAAUUACUGGGCGUAAAGCGUACGUAGGCGGAUUGGAAAGUUGGGGGUGAAAUCCCAGGGCUCAACCCUGGAACUGCCUCCAAAACUAUC